rnacentral:tRNA from 1 species
UUAAUUGAAACCAAAAUAGAGGUAAAUCACUGUUAAUGAUUAAAUUGAGAAAUUUCUCCAAUUAAG